CGAUGGCAAAGAAGCCAAAGCAGUGGGCUUAAUCAGCCACGUUCUGGAACAGAACCAGGAGGGAGACGCGGCCUACAGGAAGGCCUUGGACCUGGCGAGAGAGUUUUUACCUCAGGGACCUGUUGCAAUGAGAGUGGCAAAAUUAGCAAUUAAUCAAGGGAUGGAGACCAUUCCAACAAAAGACAGACUUGAAGGUCUUCUUGCUUUUAAAGAGAAAAGGCCCCCUCGCUAUAAAGGAGAAUAAAAGGAACAGAAAUUCUUAAGAUGCCAAUGUAAUAAAUGUACUUCCUGGAAGUGUCUUUCGGAUCCACUAUAUGCCUCAGCACAUGGAACCUUAAUGACCAAAGUGAAGAGCAGAUUAUUCAUACGGUGUAAUAAGCAUCUGGAAUGGACCCAUCCGUGUACUUCAUUCAAAUGUGUAAAUGUCAUAUUCAUUCAGAUUUAUAAAGCUAGUAGUGUAUAGUCAGAAACAGAAUCAAAGUUAGAUAUACAUUUUUAAAUAUUUACUGCAUAUGAGGCUUUCUGUUAAUUUUUUAAUGUGAAUAAUUUAUAUAUUGCACAUUCUAGGGAAUAAUAUUGAUUGUAUGUCUACUGUGCUGCAUUAAGAAAAUAAAAUUUCUAUAUACCAAAAA
rnacentral:lncRNA from 1 species